rnacentral:lncRNA from 1 species
UUGUAUAUUUGACCUAUCAUAUCUAUCAUCUUUUCUGGUUAACUCUUUAUUGCAGGUCUCUGCAUCAAAAACUUUAAUCACACCUAUCCAAUGCAAGUCGUUGUGGAAGCAAUUUAACACUGAGACUGAAUACAUUGUUACACAAGCCAUUGCUGCUCAGGCACGUUAUCUUACAUCUUGCACAUAACUUUGUGCUUUUUAGGACUUCAUUCCUUGUAUAUUUAAUUUUUACCAUCGCACAGACAUAUAGUAAUAUUUUAUAUAUUAUUAAUUUUGCACCUUUUUAACUAAAGCUCACACGUUAAUUGCACAUUGCACUUAAAGUCCCAAUCAACCUUGGUUCUUCUUUUAUGAUUUUCACCAUUGACAACACUUUUCAGUACAUUUGAAUCAGACAAAUAUAAAAGUGUGACUCACGUUACACUGCUGCUUUAUAAUUUGAUUCCAGCGAUUCUCUGAGCCUGUCAAUUGUAUGUUAACAUAGCAGUUUUUCUUACCAUCUGCGGUGACAUCUCUAUUUGAUAUAUUCAUCAGGAUAAAAAUUCUCUUCACGGUUGUAAUAUUUGUAGACUCCUUUGUUAGCUUCUGACCAUCCGUUUUUUUUUUUAACUUCAGGAGGCUAGCAGGAGAAAUAACAAUUGGCUUCCACCUCCAUGGGCAGUUGUCGCGUUGCUUAUUCUGGGGUUCAAUGAAUU